AAGAUGGCGACCGGCGCACGGGUGAGUAACACGUAUCCAACCUGCCGAUAACUCCGGAAUAGCCUUUCGAAAGAAAGAUUAAUACCGGAUGGCAUACGAAUAUCGCAUGAUAUUUUUAUUAAAGAAUUUCGGUUAUCGAUGGGGAUGCGUUCCAUUAGGUUGUUGGCGGGGUAACGGCCCACCAAGCCUUCGAUGGAUAGGGGUUCUGAGAGGAAGGUCCCCCACAUUGGAACUGAGACACGGUCCAA
rnacentral:rRNA from 1 species